CCUACUUCUAAAGGGAUUGCAGGUGUGGCUGCUCUGACACAUGUGCUUCAGUCGGUGGCAGAGAGGAGAAAGGCUAUGUCUACCCUCAGUGUUCUGACCUAUGAACAUCUGAAUGAUUAGUAACCUAACAUU